rnacentral:rRNA from 1 species
GACGAACGCUGGCGGCGUGCUUAACACAUGCAAGUCGAACGAGUGGCGAACGGGUGAGUAAUACGUGAGUAACCUUCCCUCUUUUUGGGAUAAGCCUUGGAAACGGGGUCUAAUAACGGAUAAUGGGGGAUGGGCUCGCGGCCUAGCAGCUUGUUGGUGGGGGUAUGGCCUACCAAGGCGGUGGCGGGUAGCCGGCGUGAGAGGGUGACCUGGGACAUUGGAACUGGGAUACGGCCCAGACGCCUACGGGAGGGAGCAGUGGGGGAUAUGGCAGAAUGCGCGAUAGCCUGAUGCAGCGACUCCGCGGAGGGGAUUAAGGCUUUCGAGUUGUAAACCUGUGGCGCUAUCUGACCGGUAGGUGGAGAAGAAGCGCCGGCUAACUACGUGCCAGCAGCCGCGGUAAUUC